AGAGUUUGAUCAUGGCUCAGGACGAACGCUUGCGACGUGCCUAAGAAAUGCAAGUCGAACGGGGGGAGCAAUCCCCUAGUGGCGAACGGUCGCGUAACACGUGGGCAACCUGCCCUGAAGCGGGGGACAACAGUCCGAAAGGAUUGCUAAUACCGCAUGUGAAUCGCUGCGGCAUCGCAGAGGAUUCAAAGCCGCAAGGCACUUCAGGAUGGGCCCGCGGCCUAUCAGCUUGUUGGUGGGGUAACGGCCUACCAAGGCGACGACGGGUAGCUGGUCUGAGAGGACGAUCAGCCGGAUUGGGACUGAGAUACGGCCCAGACUCCUACGGGGGGCAGCAAUUAGGAAUCUUGCGCAAUGGGCGAAAGCCUGACGCAGCGACGUCGCGUGAAGGAUGAAAUCUUUCGGGAUGUAAACUUCUUUUACCAGGGAAGAAUUCUGACGGUACCUGGUGAAUAAGCCCCGGCUAACUACGUGCCAGCAGCCGCGGUAAUACGUAGGGGGCGAGCGUUGUCCGAAGUUACUGGGCGUAAAGAGCGCGUAGGCGGGUCUUUAAGUGAGAGGUGAAAGGUUCAGGGCUCAACCCGGACACUGCCUUUCAUACUGGAGAUCUUGAGUGUGGGAGAGGCGAGUGGAAUGGUCGGUGUAGCGGUGAAAUGCGUAGAUAUCGAUCGGAACACCCAUGGCGAAGGCAGCUCGCUGGCCUAUAACUGACGCUGAGGCGCGAAAGCGUGGGGAGCAAACAGGAUUAGAUACCCUGGUAGUCAAGGGCGAAUUCGUUUAA
rnacentral:rRNA from 1 species